UACGUAGGGGGCAAGCGUUGUCCGGAAUCACUGGGCGUAAAGCGUGCGUAGGCGGUCUUGUAAGUCUGGGGUGAAAACUCAGGGCUCAACCUUGAGAAUGCCUUGGAAACUGUGAGACUUGAGUACUGGAGAGGCAAGGGGAAUUCCACAUGUAGCGGUGAAAUGCGUAGAGAUGUGGAGGAAUACCAGUGGCGAAGGCGCCUUGCUGGACAGUGACUGACGCUGAGGCACGAAAGCGUGGGGAGCAAACAGG
rnacentral:rRNA from 1 species